UGGUUGGCUUUCUACGAUCUAGAGCCUUUUACCCUAGCGAAGGGAAGUCUGCAAAUUCGUUUUGUAUGCUAUUCAGAUGGAAUACUCUUCAAGCAUUGCGGAGUCCAUCUAGUACGCAAGGACGAGAAGAAUGCUAAGAGGAAGCGUGAUGAUGAUGACGAGAAAUACUAUUCAAUGGAUGACAAUUUAGAGGAUGGCGACGAGGAUUAAGAUUUACACCAUUAAAAGCCUCCCACCGUGAUCCUCAGGAAUUCGCAGUCUCAAGCUUUGUGCCCUUUGUUAGAUGGAGUUACUUGGAAUUUUUGUCCUCUUUUAUUUUGAUUUUUAUUUUUAGGUUUGGAUUUUCAAUUGAUUUAUGCAUUUAAAAAAUGUUAUUUAAUAUAAUAAUUCAAAUUAUUUUUAUUUUGUUGUUUCAUCAAUGUUUAGAUUAUCAGAUUUCUUAA